rnacentral:rRNA from 1 species
GACGAACGCUGGCGGCGUGCCUAAUACAUGCAAGUAGAACGCUGAAGGAGGAGCUUGCUUCUCCGGAUGAGUUGCGAACGGGUGAGUAACGCGUAGGUAACCUGCCUGGUAGCGGGGGAUAACUAUUGGAAACGAUAGCUAAUACCGCAUAACAGUAGAUGUUGCAUGACAUUUGCUUAAAAGGUGCAAUUGCAUCACUACCAGAUGGACCUGCGUUGUAUUAGCUAGUUGGGGGGGUAACGGCUCACCGAGGCGACGAUAGAUAGCCGGCCGGAGAGGGGGACCGGACACAGAGGGACUGGGAUACGGCCCAGACUGCUACGGGAGGAAGGAGUGGGGGAUAUUGCACAAUGGGCGGAAGCGUGAUGCAGGAUUGCAGGGGGUGGGAGGACGGUCUGAGGGGAGUAAACCGCUUGAGCCUGGGAAGAAGCGUGAGUGACGGUAAUGGGUAAAGAAGCACCGGCUAACUACGUG